rnacentral:rRNA from 1 species
AGUGAACGCUGGCGGUAGGCCUAACACAUGCAAGUCGAACGGCAGCACAGUAAGAGCUUGCUCUUACGGGUGGCGAGUGGCGGACGGGUGAGGAAUACAUCGGAAUCUACUUUUUCGUGGGGGAUAACGUAGGGAAACUUACGCUAAUACCGCAUACGACCUACGGGUGAAAGCAGGGGAUCUUCGGACCUUGCGCGAUUGAAUGAGCCGAUGUCGGAUUAGCUAGUUGGCGGGGUAAAGGCCCACCCAGGCGACGAUCCGUAGCUGGUGUGAGAGGAUGAUCGGCCACACUGGAACUGAGACACGGUCCAGACUCCUACGGGAGGCAGCAGUGGGGAAUAUUGGACAAUGGGCGCAAGCCUGAUCCAGCCAUACCGCGUGGGUGAAGAAGGCCUUCGGGUUGUAAAGCCCUUUUGUUGGGAAAGAAAAGCAGCAGGUUAAUACCCCGCUGUUCUGACGGUACCCAAAGAAUAAGCACCGGCUAACUUCGUG